CCUACGGGGGGCAGCAGUCGGGAAUAUUGCGCAAUGGAGGAAACUCUGACGCAGUGACGCCGCGUAUAGGAAGAAGGUUUUCGGAUUGUAAACUAUUGUCGUUAGGGAAGAGAAAGGACAGUACCUAAGGAGGAAGCUCCGGCUAACUACGUGCCAGCAGCCGCGGUAAUACGUAGGGAGCGAGCGUUAUCCGGAAUUAUUGGGUGUAAAGGGUGCGUAGACGGGAAAGCAAGUUAGUUGUGAAAUCCCUCGGCUUAACUGAGGAACUGCAACUAAAACUACUUUUCUUGAGUGCAGGAGAGGUAAGUGGAAUUCCUAGUGUAGCGGUGAAAUGCGUAGAUAUUAGGAGGAACACCAGUGGCGAAGGCGACUUACUGGACUGUAACUGACGUUGAGGCACGAAAGUGUGGGGAGCAAACAGGAUUAGAUACCCUAGUA
rnacentral:rRNA from 1 species